CUUCUACAAAAUUAUUCUUCUCUUCUCUCCAUUCCUCCCCUCUCUCACGUAAACCAACCAAAGUUCACCCAUCUUGCCGACAAUCAUCCUCCACCCAUCGUCGAUGUCGCGCCACCGCAGCAAAUCACCCGAUCUGGAACAUUCAUCCAGAUCUGAAAGAUUGAGUGUCGAAAUGGAUGACCUACGCUACAUACCGAAAAAAGAAGAAGUAUAAUCCUGAAUUUCGAGCCUUGUACCCAUUGAACCCAGUCCUUCACUGCCACUGAACAACAGAAUAUCAUCAUAGUUUUUGAGGAUAAUGCAUUUGCUGUGGAGUUGGAUUGUUUCCUUCUAUGUGGAGGUCUAGACAGACUCCAUGAAAAAGGCAAGAUAUGCUUUUUCUGUGAGUUUUAGGAUUCUUUUGGUCAAUAUUUUGAGGAUNUUUUUUUUUUUUUUUUUCAUUCUUCAUUA
rnacentral:lncRNA from 1 species